AUUCCAGCUCCAAUAGCGUAUAUUAAAGUUGUUGCAGUUAAAAAGCUCGUAGUUGGACCUUGGGCCUGGACGGGCGGUCCGCCUCACGGCGUGUACUGUCUUGCCGGGCCUUUCCUCUUGGUGAUCUGUUGUUUCGGCAGCAGGGAACCAGGACCUUUACUUUGAAAAAAUUAGAGUGUUCAAAGCAGGCUCGACGCCGGAAUAUAUUAGCAUGGAAUAAUAAAAUAGGACGUGCGGUUCUAUUUUGUUGGUUUUUGGAAUCGCCGUAAUGAUUAAUAGGGACAGUCGGGGGCAUUAGUACUCACAUGCUAGAGGUGAAAUUCUUGGAUUUUGUGAAGACUAACUUCUGCGAAAGCAUUUGCCAAGGAUGUUUUCAUUG
rnacentral:rRNA from 1 species